rnacentral:lncRNA from 1 species
CAGGUGGCCCCGUAAUGUUAGAUCAUAACAAAUUGGAUCCAUAAUAAAAAUAAAAAAUGUUACAAGCAGGGUCAGAUUUCUCGCACGUGAGACCAUAACAGGUUGGACCUGUACACAAACUCAUGAUAAGCUGGACCAUCAACUAAUAAAAAACAGGCUGCACCAUCCCACGAGUGAUCAAACCAUCCCAUAUAAUAAAAAAAUAGGGCGUACAGGGUAAGAAACAUGACCAAACUCUGAAGAUCCUGCCCACAAAAAAAACUAUACAAAGAUGCCAUCCCUCCAAACAAAUCCAAACUCUCAGAAAUUUGCAGAGAUUUGAUCUCUCCAAACAGAAUAUCUCUAGAUAGGACCAAAAUCUCAUGGUCGCAUGCAUAUAAAAAACCUCUCGGCAUCCGAACAACCUUGUACAUCAUCUUCCUCCAUUGAACAACACUUUAAGGUCAACUUCCUCCAACCAGUGGCACUUCGGCAUUGGGCACCAGCCGGCUCCGUUGAACAACUAGAUCACCUCCAGUAUGUACGAUCUGCAUGAAAUUAUAGAUCAGACCUAUUAAUGGAUAAUGAGAGGAUGUAGCCCACUAUACCCCCACAAAAAAAUGAAAAACAAAUGGAGACCCUCAAUUACUCUGGGCAGUGCUAAACUAAAAUAUUAUUCUAGCGUGAUCCUCUACUAUAUUUUGGGUUGUGGGAUGGCUUCAAUAGGCCUCAAAUCCAUUAAGAAGCACAUGACAGUGCAGUAUGGUAAUAACUUGGAGUUUGUAGAUUAGAUAAUGGUUCACAUAAUACUUUGCAUGAGUACCUCAGUAAUUUUGUCUAAUAAAGUACUCCCUCCGUUCCAAAAUAGAUGACCCAACUUUGUACUAACUUUAGUACAAAGUUGGGUCAUCCAUUUUGGAACGGAGGGAGGACCUCAUUAAUCAGGUAGAGAUUGCUUCGGUCGGCUUCUACUAGAAAAUACUCACGAUAUUUGUGUAUUCACAUGAUGAUAAAAACUUAAGUUCCUCUUUAUCAUUAAAGAUUUCUGCAAAUCACUAGUCUCGAAAAUUGAUCUCCUUUACUUGUACGACCAAAAAAAUAUUUAUAGGGUGAGAAGUAAUAAAAAUAAUGAAUAUUCAUAAACUUGAGCAUUAAUCUUUAAUAGUAGCACACCCACCAUCAAGCGGGGCAGCUGGUCAAGGUCUCAAGCGGCCGAGAAGGGUACUCCCCAUGUCCAAUGACCAGCUGGAGCACCGCCAUGAUAUUUAUCGUCGUCCAUCGCCACAGCAAAGCACGAUCUCUAGGUCCACCACUGUUUGUAAUAAUAUUAUAAUUAGCUUUAUUUGAUUUUUUCAAGAAAACACAAAAGAGCUUGCAUUUCAUUGGAUUGAAAAGAGAGCUUUACCUUUAUAUUUGCACUCUCUAAUGUGCAGGAAUCAACAAUGAAAAGAAAAGAUGGGCCACAUAACAAGGAAGGUUAGAAACCUGCCAAGAUGGUUAAAACAAAACAUAUAUGUAAUCCAACAAGGUGAUCCGUUACUAAUGAUGAAUAUUUUGUGUGUGCUAUCACAACAAAAUUAAAACAAAAAAUGCAACAGUUCCAGUUAGGCGUUGGAGGUUCCUAAUUGAUUUUAGCUUCAACGAUAAAACGUAUUUUAAAUUGUUAUCUUAUUGAUGCAAUUCAAGACAAUCAACAAAAAUGGCAAGAUUGGAAGGAGAAUGGAACUUCAAGACAAGAAAAAGAUACAACCUCCAAUCAUAAAUGGAGAUGUGCCAGACUUUGCGGCUACACACAAAGGAGAAACUUUGAUCUAUGCGAAGUAAGAAAAUCUCCACAAAGUUUCACCCUUAUGCAGGUUAUCAUCCAUUUGAUUUAGUUACAGUUCUCAGUUCAAUUUCUAAAUUUUAAGAAUGCACAACUGGUAUUGCAGUAUACAGGAAGCAACAUUAUGUACCUUGCUUAUGAUUUGCACAUCAGUUCUGCUAUCUAUGUGCAGCUCAAAUAUUUCAAAGCAUGAAAACUUACCUUCAUUAACUCGGUGGUUUUGAUGUAGUAAAGUUGUAUCUCACACAUUUUACCAUAAAACAAGUGGUUAUAAAGUUCGGACGCCCUUGCAUUUCCAUAUCUUUGAGUGUGGCUAAUUUUAAUUGCUCUAUGAAAUCACAAAAACAUGUUACAUUUUGUUCUAUCUAUAGCUAAGUAUAACACGUAUGCAUGCAUUGUGGCUAAAGCAAAAAAUAUUUUUCCAUUCCCACAAGGAGAAAUAAAGUGCUUAAGCCGGAGAUGAAACAAUAUCUUACUUCUACUAAUUAGGAUUUAUGUUUAUGUAGGGAAAGUAACUCAACCAAAAGGGGGAAAUAUGACAGAGUUGGGAAAACAAAAAAUGGGGACCUGCAGGUCGACCUUCGAAGAAUGAUGUCGGUGUGGAGGAUGAGGACCAUGUCCCGAGCUGCCUCGAGUGGAAAGAGCGACAACGCUCUUGCUUGCACGCUUGGGGAAGAGAACCUCGCCGCCAUCCUCACACCCAAGAUGGAAACCAGAUACUGUCCCUGUGGCAGCACCAGUUGCGGAGUGGCUUGAGGUGAGGACGAGGAACCUAAAGGCAGCGAACAAGAGAGCAAGUUGAUGGGAGGAGCAGCAAUUUUUGGGUGAGCAGAGAGAAUAAGGAAAGGAGAAUGGGG